AUACGUAGGGUGCGAGCGUUGUCCGGAAUUACUGGGCGUAAAGAGCUCGUAGGUGGUUUGUCGCGUCGUCUGUGAAAUUCCGGGGCUUAACUCCGGGCGUGCAGGCGAUACGGGCAUAACUUGAGUACUGUAGGGGAGACUGGAAUUCCUGGUGUAGCGGUGAAAUGCGCAGAUAUCAGGAGGAACACCGGUGGCGAAGGCGGGUCGCAGGGCAGUAACUGACGCGGAGGGGCGAAAGCAUGGGUAGCGAACAGGAUUAGAGACCCUGGUAGUCCAUGCCGUAAACGGUGGGCGCUAGGUGUAGGGGUCUUCCACGACUUCUGUGCCGUAGCUAACGCAUUAAGCGCCCCGCCUGGGGAGUACGGCCGCAAGGCUACAACUCAAAUGAAUUGACGGGG
rnacentral:rRNA from 1 species